rnacentral:rRNA from 1 species
CGUGCCUAACACAUGCAAGUCGAGCGAGAAAACUCCUUCGGGAGUGAGUACAGCGGCGAACGGGUGAGCAACGCGUGGGAAUCUACCCUUCAGUGAAGAAUACCCUUGAGAAAUCGAGGUUAAUACUGCAUACGUCCUGUAAAGGAGAAAGACGGCCUCUUUGCUGUCGUUGAAGGAUGAGCCUGCGUACUAUUAGCUAGUUGGUGGGGUAAUGGCCUACCAAGGCGACGAUCUAUAGCUGGUCUGAGAGGACGACCAGCCACACUGGGACUGAGACACGGCCCAGACUCCUACGGGAGGCAGCAGUGGGGAAUAUUGGACAAUGGGCGAAAGCCUGAUCCAGCCAUGCCGCGUGAGUGAUGAAGGCCUUCGGGUUGUAAAGCUCUUUUAGUAGGGAAGAUAAUGACGGUACCUACAGAAAAAGUCCCGGCUAACUUCGUGCCAGCCGCCGCCGUAA